rnacentral:rRNA from 1 species
CAGUGGGGAAUAUUGGACAAUGGGCGCAAGCCUGAUCCAGCCAUGCCGCGUGAGUGAUGAAGGCCCUAGGGUUGUAAAGCUCUUUCACCGUGUGAGGAUAAUGACCGUAGCCGUAGAAGAAGCCCCGUGCUAACUUCGUGCCAGCAGCCGCGGUAAUACGAAGGGGGCUAGCGUUGUUUGGAAUUACUGGGCGUAAAGCGCACGUAGGCGGAUCGUUCAGUUUGGGGGGAAAUCCCAGGGCUCAACCCUGGAACUGCCUCUAAUACUGUCGAUCUCGAGUUUGAGAGAGGUGAGUGGAAUUCCGAGUGUAGAGGUGAAAUUCGUAGAUAUUCGGAGGAACACCAGUGGCGAAGGCGGCCCACUGGCUCGAUACUGACGCUGAGGGGCGAAAGCGUGGGGAGCAAACAGGAUUAGAUACCCCGGUAGUC